rnacentral:tRNA from 1 species
GGGCGAUUAGCUCAGCGGGAGAGCACUGCAUUCACACUGCAGGGGUCGCAGGUUCAAUCCCUGCAUCGCCCACCA